GAUGAACGCUGACAGAAUGCUUAACACAUGCAAGUCAACUUGAAUUUGGGUUUUUAACUUAGGUUUGGGUGGCGGACGGGUGAGUAACGCGUAAAGAACUUGCCUCACAGCUAGGGACAACAUUUGGAAACGAAUGCUAAUACCUAAUAUUAUGAUAAUAGGGCAUCCUAUAAUUAUGAAAGCUAUAAGCGCUGUGAGAGAGCUUUGCGUCCCAUUAGCUAGUUGGAGAGGUAACGGCUCACCAAGGCGAUGAUGGGUAGCCGGCCUGAGAGGGUGAUCGGCCACAAGGGGACUGAGACACGGCCCUUACUCCUACGGGAGGCAGCAGUGGGGAAUAUUGGACAAUGGACCAAGAGUCUGAUCCAGCAAUUCUGUGUGCACGAUGAAGUUUUUCGGAAUGUAAGGUGCUUUCAGUUGGGAAGAAAUAAAUGACGGUACCAACAGAAGAAGUGACGGCUAAAUACGUGCCAGCAGCCGCGGUAAUACGUAUGUCACGAGCGUUAUCCGGAUUUAUUGGGCGUAAAGCGCGUCUAGGUGGUUAUGUAAGUCUGAUGUGAAAAUGCAGGGCUCAACUCUGUAUUGCGUUGGAAACUGUAUAACUAGAGUACUGGAGAGGUAAGCGGAACUACAAGUGUAGAGGUGAAAUUCGUAGAUAUUUGUAGGAAUGCCGAUGGGGAAGCCAGCUUACUGGACAGAUACUGACGCUGAAGCGCGAAAGCGUGGGUAGCAAACAGG
rnacentral:rRNA from 1 species